ACCAGAGUGGGCUGAAGGAGGUUCAGCAGUUGGAGACACUCAUCGAGCGCGGCCUCAGAGGAGGGGGAGGGCAGAUCGGUGGCGGCCUUCCUAAGAAUUUGCUCCUUGGUUUCUGCGGGCAGGAAGGUCAGGUAGUCCAGCACCGGCUCCACCUGGAUGUACAUUUUCACCCUGGUCCUGAAGCACGACAGGAGAUAGCGGAAACUCUUCUCUGCCGAAGAGCAUCCAUUCGACAUUUUUGCUUCUCAGAGGCAGAGAGAGGACUCUCCCCAGCGGACGAUCAACAGACUUUCAGAACGCCAUCUUCCGGGUUUCGUCAGAGAAGAGGAAGCCUUUGACUCCCUGCCGGUCACUAGAGGACUUUGGUCAAAAACACUAUGGGAACCCAGAAGGGAAAGCGAAUUCUUUGUGUGGAGAAAGCAACUGUCUGCAGUGCUAAAUUACUGAUAAUUUUGUCUUCCCCACUGCCGGACCCGCUUGUUAGUUAAAAUACAGGAAGUACUCUCGAAAAUUGAGGAAUUUCCCUAAACCCUCAUGAAUGUGAGGGAAGAGUUACCCUCUAGGCUGGAAGGAAGGCAGACCUGGCCCAGCCAAGGUGCAGGACUCUAAGGAGAGAAGUUCUUGAAUCAUGGAACCCCAGGCUUCAUUUCAGCACCCCUCCUACAAUUAAUCUCACCCCAAUACGGGUUCUCAAGAAGGAACUUGUUCCUCUGGGAAUUGGGGCUUAAGUGUGAAAAAGUGAACUACAUUAAAGAGUUUUAUUGUCUCAU